GCCUGGCUUGGGGUCUUUUUGGUGCGAGCUGCGGAGAGGACAGGUGAGAAGGUGCCACAGAAUGCCAUGGGAAGGAGAGUCCCAUUCCACAAGAUGCAUUGUGCAGACAGGUGGCAGAUCAACUGCUGAUCCCACUGGUGCCAGCACAGGAAACCUUGUAGAUACGAACUCCAGCCAAACGUACGACAGGCUCACAUCCUGAAGUCACAACUUCAAGAUUGAUACUUGCAAAUGUCCAGCAUCCUUCCAAAGUCAUGAAGUUUGGAAACAAGACCUUCAGCCCAUCAAAUCCAUGCUAACCAUCAGUUCAUCAUCCAAAGGUGAAGACUGAGGCUUGUGUACUCUCAGCAGGCUUCCCAAGACUGUGCUUCACCUGGCACUGGCUGCUCCUGAAGGUUCCUCCAUGGACAAUAAAGCAGCCAGAACACAGUUGAUGGUAGGAACACAGAUUUUGUGUGUCUGGUGCACUGAACCGAACUGCCACAGGUUGGGUGAGAUGGUGGUGGCAGUUUCCAAUGCACCCCUCCCUCAAUUAGCUCUUGAAUGAUUCUGAGCCAUGAACCCACAUCUGAUGGAACAUUUGCCAGUUUCCUGCCCGAAUAAUGGGAAGGAGCAGGGAAUGGGAUGAGUUAGAUACUUCCUCCAACAGAUAAACUGUGAGCUUCAUAUUCAACUUCAUAGAAGCUCACCGAAGCUGAUAAUGUUUAUGGUUGAUGGUGUGGAAGAAGAUGAGCUACCCAGAAAAAUAUCUUCAGUGGUGAGACAGGGUUUGCAGCUGAACAAGCAUCUUCUUAUCUGAAAAACAACCUUUGAUUUUGCUUCCUGCAUUCUUCAGAUUUAUAAUAAGUAAAUCUGAAGAACGCAGGAGGCAAACUAAUAAGUAACUUUAAGACCUGAUAAGACCAAUUAUAAUCACCCUGUUGGUCUAGCAGGUUAACCUAUUCUCUUUGAGUUCGAGAGAAGAAACAGCAAGCAGGUCACUUGGGAAUUUCCCACUGAGUUUUAUAGUCCGUCAUGAAUCAAUGAGGUUCAGUGGGUUAAUUUUGCAGUGCAUUUGUGCACAACAAGAUUUCGCAAUGAGAGAGAUAUACUCAACAAUUGCAGCAACAGUGGUUCAGAGCUAAAUCCUGGGCAAGAAAGGAAUAGCUUCUUCCUCUUCACCAUACUAUUUUUGCUCUAUUUAUCUAUUUUUUUUACAUAUUUCUUAUUUUAACUUUUACAAAAUGUAACAAUUACUAAUGGGCAAUUAUUACCUGGUAAGCCUCAGGCUCGCUCAGCUCGCUUUCAUCUAGGGGGAGCAGCCUUUGGCCCCGCUAGACUGGGUAAUCAAGUUUGGGUGGAUGUUGCGUGAUGUACUUAACCCCGCCAAAUAAUAGACAAUACACCAUAUGUGAUUAAAUUAUUCCACUUUAUAGAUCUUACUGGAACUAUGUAAUGAAUAGAGAUAAAAUAUAAAAGGAAAAUAAAAGGCGCCAAGCUUAUCAAAGUUCAACCACUUCAUGCACAACAGUUGGAGCUCAAUUAACGGAGUCUUCUUUCCACCAUUCCAUCCCCUCCAACUGCCUGGGACCAACCACGGUGCUCGACCAGAUGCUCCACACUAGUCUGUCGUCGUCUCCUCUCCUUGCCGAACACCCUGGGCCUUGGACUCCUGCUCGGGGUCUGUCCCACCGCCCAGCUUACAGCAUCGCAUCUCCUCUCUCUGUCCCCAUUGCCUUCUGCUCCAAAGCCCGCGAAAACAAUAGCUUACAGACACACAAGAAAGAAUAACAUCUAUCCCAAUUGGUUAGCAAGUGAAUACAAUGCUCUUAUCAGUAAUAUAACCCAAACAAGCAGCGAGAGAGACAGAACUCCUUACAUCGCAGUUAUUAUUACAGAAAAGCCAUUUUAAUUAUAAGAUAACAAAGAAGCCAUUUUGUUAGCCUUCGCAGUAACAUAAGAGAAGAAACCCCUUACACUACUAUCAGUGAGGAAGUACAGGAGCUUGAAGACUUGCACUCAAUGCCUUAGGAACAAUUUCUUCCCCUCUGCCAUCAGAUUUUUGAAUGGACCAUGAAUCCACGAACACUAAUUCACUAUUUUGCUCUCUUUUUGCACUAUUUAUUUAUUUUUUAUUGUAACUUAUAGUAAUUUUAUAUGCCUGCACUGUACUGCUGCCGCAAAACAACACACAUUUCACGACACGUCAGUAAUAAUAAUCUGAACCUGGUCUCCAUAGUUUGUUACUGUACAAUUAUCUUCAGAGACACAGAAGGAAAGAAACACUUACACAUUUAUUAGACAUUGAAAAGCACAUUACAAUUGAGAAGAAAUGCAGGGGACAUUGUGACCACCAAGCUGCCACAAGUGCCAGUGUUCUAGCAAGCAGAUAACCCGAUUUAGUGAAAUAAAAAAAUGGGCAGGGUGUUAGACUGGACACCAGAAAGAGCUUGUCUGCUCUUCACUAACAUAUUACUUUAGCAAAGAGUUAAGAUUUGAAAAUGAUUCACUUAGUACUCGUUACAGAGUCAUAGAUUGAGUAUGGAUCCCUGCCAACCAUGGUAUCCACCCAUCUAGACCCAAUUUCCUGCAUUCAGCCCAUAUCUGUCCACGUUCCUCUCUAAGUGCUUCAUAAAUGCUGCCACAACCACUUCCUCUGGCAGCUCGUUCGAUAUACUCAGUACCCUCUACAUGAAAAAGUUGCCCCUCGAGUCCCUUUUAAAUCUUUCCCCUCUCACCCUAAAUCUAUGUUCCCUAUUUUUGUUCUCCCCCUACUCUGGGGAAAAGAUUGUUACUAUCCACCUUAUCGAUGCCUCUCAAAAUUUUAAAUAUUUCUAUAAGGUUGCCUCUCAUUCUCCUACAUUCCAAGGAAUAAAGAUCUAGCCUGGCAAACUCCCUAUAACUCGGGCAAUAUCCCAAUAAAUCUUUUCUGCAUUCUUUCCAGUUAACCACCACCACUUUUCUAUAACAAGGUGACCAAAACUGUACAUAUUACUUCAAGUGCGGCCUCACUACUGACUUCCACAGCUGCAACAUAACGUGCCAGUUCGUAUACCCAGUGCUCUGACUGAUGAAGGCCAGCAUGCGAAAUGGCUUUUUCAGCAGCCUACCUGCCUGGGCUGCUACUUUCAAUGAACUAUGCACUUGUACUCUUAGGUCCCUCGGUUCCAUUCUAUGUCCCAGCACUCAUAGUUUCGGUCCUACUGUGGUUUGACUUCCCGAAAUGAACAAUCUCAGUCUUAUUUGUAUUGCAAUCCAUUGGUCACUCCUUAGCCUACUUCCCUAAAUGAUCAAGAUCUUACGAUAACCUCUUCACUAUCAACAAAAUCUCCUAAUUUUGUGUAUCCCACAAACUUACUGAUCAAGCCUUGUGCAUUCACAUCCAAAUCACUUAUAUUUAGAUUUUUUUUUAGAUUAUGAGAACACUCAGUCCUCUUUUAUUGUCAUUUAGAAAUGCAUACAUGCACUAAGAAAUGAUACAAUGUUUCUCCGGCGUGAUAUCACAGAAAAUAGGACAGACCAACAACUAACACUGACAGAACCACAUAAUUAUAACAUAUAGUUACAGCAGUGCAAAGCAAUACCAUAAUUUGAUGAAGAACAGACCAUGGGCACAGUAAAAAAAAGUCUCAAAGUCCUGAGUCCCCGAUAGCAGGCGGCAAAAGGGAGAAGCUCCCUGCCAUUAACCUCCAGGCACCAUCAACUUGUCGAUGCCUUGGAAGCAGCCAACCCCAGCCGACACUGAGUCCAUCCGUCUGAAAACUCCGAGCUUCAGAGCAGCCUCUCCGAUACACCCUCCCGAGCGCCUUCGGCCUCUCCCCGGCUGCUGAAACAUGCAAGGCCAAGGAUUUCGGGGCCUUCAGCUGCGGAGAUUCCGGUUACCACACAGUAGCAGCGGCAGCGAAACGGGCAUUUCAGAAGUUUUCCAGAUGUUCCUCUGUGCACUCACGUCUGUCUCCAUCAAAUCAGAAUUGUGCAUGGUCCCCUACUUGACAGAUUACAGAUAUCAUUCACCGGGGUGGCCGUGCGCACUGCUGUCGUGCCGCCAUCUUCCAUAUAAAUAACAAAUUACGAGAAUCCCAAUACUAACCACUUCGGCCACACCACUAGUCAUCGACAUCCAUUCCAUAAGCAACCUUAGACCACCACUCUCUGCUUCCUUCCUCCAAGCCAAUCUUGGAUCCACCUAACCAGCUCUCCUGAAUGCCACGGGACCUAACUUUCCAGACCAGUUUACCAUGGGGGACCUUAUCGACGGCCUUGUUCAGAAGUUUGUACGUUCUCUCCAUGAUGUAUGUAAGUAAAUAGUCAGCAUGCUAUGUUGACACGGUUUCGUGUGGUGACAUUUGCGAGCUGCCCCCAGCAUAAUCCUAAGAAUGUGUUAGUCAUUGGCGCAAACAAUGCAUUUCACCAUAUGUUUCGCUAUUUUGCUGUACAUGUGACAAAUAAAGCUAAAGCGAAUCUUCAUUUCUUUCCAAAGUUGAAGGAUAAAAAAAAUUCUAAAAGGUUCGUCAACCUCUCCCCUCUCCCUCUCCGUCAGCAAAAUAAAGAGCUGGUCAUGAACUUCAGAAAGCGGGGUGGUAUACUGAAGAUACUGAGAUCAAGGUGGUUGAGAGCUUCAGGUUCCUAGCAGUGAACAUUAGUAGUCUGUCCUGGUCCAACCAUAUAGACACCACGGCCACAAAAGCACACCUGCACCUCUACUUCCUCAGGACACUUCCUCAAGAAAUUCAGCAUUUCCCCAUUGACCCUCGCCAAUUUUUAUCAAUGCCUUGUAGAAAGCAUUGUGCAUAGAUGCAUCAUUGCUUGGUGUGGCAACUGCAGAGAGUUUUGGACACAGCUCAGCACAUCAGUCUCCUCUGUAUCAACUCUCUCUAUCACAGUCAAUAUUAUCAAAGACCCCUCUGGACAUUCUCUGUUCUAUCCCCCACCCACUGGGCAGAAGAUUGAAAAGCCUGAAAGCACACACUAUUAGGUUCAUGGACAGCUUCCAUCUUACUGUUAUAGAACUAUUGAAUGGACCUAUUGUACAAUAAGAUGGACCCUUGACCUCACAAUCUACCUCAUUACGGCCUUACAUCUUAUCAUC